rnacentral:rRNA from 1 species
AUUGGUUUUGGCGGUAGGGUUUCACCUGUUCCCAUUCCGAACACAGAAGUUAAGCCCACCAGCGCCGAUAAUUUGCCCUACGAAAGUGGGAGAGUAGGUCGCCGCCAGUU